UACAGAGGUCUCAAGCGUUGUUCGGAUUCAUUGGGCGUAAAGGGUGCGUAGGUGGCGCCGUAAGUCGGGUGUGAAAUUUCGGAGCUUAACUCCGAAACUGCAUUCGAUACUGCGGUGCUUGAGGACUGGAGAGGAGACUGGAAUUCAUGGUGUAGCAGUGAAAUGCGUAGAUAUCGAGAGGAACACCAGUGGCGAAGGCGAGUCCCUGGACAACACCUGACACUGAGGCACGAAAGCUAGGGGAGCAAACGGG
rnacentral:rRNA from 1 species